UACGAAGGGUGCAAGCGUUACUCGGAAUUACUGGGCGUAAAGCGUGCGUAGGUGGUUGUUUAAGUCUGUUGUGAAAGCCCUGGGCUCAACCUGGGAAUUGCAGUGGAUACUGGGCGACUAGAGUGUGGUAGAGGGUAGUGGAAUUCCCGGUGUAGCAGUGAAAUGCGUAGAGAUCGGGAGGAACACCAGUGGCGAAGGCGGCCUUCUGGACCAAUACUGACGCUCAUGCACGAAAGCGUGGGGAGCAAACAGG
rnacentral:rRNA from 1 species